UCCCCUUCAGUUUUCCUCAUAAUUUUUAAAACCUUUGUGAAAUCUGACUACUGGUUACACAGGUAUGGAAUGGUACUGAUAAGCUGUGCCUCUGUGGCAGCCAUGUGUCCCCCUGGAAGCCUGGUGCACUGCUUUGCUGUCUGCAGCGUUGCACACCUUUUGUUUUUGUCUGAGUUUCCCCACUGCUGCUCAUGCUGACCUGCCUUCAGCCUUUGAUAGGACUGGAAUGUGUUGCUGUGGCUCUCUCCAGCUCUUUACUUCUCCUGGAAGAGUCAUUUCUUCUUUCAGCCUUUGCUCACAGUCUGCACUUCUGCACCACUGGUGUCCCUUUGUGCCCAGCUGGCCCAAAUCCCCACCGUGGCCAGAACAGGGCCAGAUCCUCCAUCCCACGCCGUACCAGCCCUGUGCUGGCUGCACACAAUGGCACACUGCUGCACCGUUUCUCACACGAUGACAUCCACCUUUUCCACUUGAGCACACUGCUGUUGGCUGCAGUUCUGCUGAAGAUUUGCAGUGGCACACAGGUCUUGUGGAGCGCUGACAGAUUCAGCUGCUGCCCGUUCCAAGUCCCAGCCAAAUCCCAUUCAGCCCAUCUGAUUUCACCAUAGUAACUGGGACUGUUCUUUUUCCUCCCCUCAGGGCAGCUUGGAAGUGGGGCACAGAGUCAGCAGAACGCAUAACCCCCUUGCAAUGUGCACACACCGUAUGCACUCUUUUCCUGUGCCCUGGGCUAUUAUAUUUGCAGAUGUGGAAUUUGUUAUCCUUGCCAACAGGAUCUUAACCUAUGACUCUUUGGUGCCUGCAUCUUUGUGUGAUGCCUCAGCUACAAUGCAUGGUGCCUAUUUUGAUACAUCCUUGCUGUGGUCAGGAGCUGCUGACAGCCCUGAAUGCGUGUGCAGCUCCUGUGGGAGUGUCCCCGUGGUGCCCAGAGCUGCUUCUUGUCAUUAGUGUGGGCUCAGGUAUGCACUUCAGGCCACAAAGGAGCUAUGGAAAGCCCUGUAAAUACAAACACACAAUAUGGCAAACCCCAGAUCUCUUUUCCUCACCUCCCUUCCAGCUUCUCACUCCUUCUGCCAUAACCAUCACAAAUAGUUUCCUUCCGCCCACCAGGAGGGAAAGGCUAAAUGCAUCCCUUAUCAUCCUCCAGCUGAGCUCUCUGAGUCAUCUUGCCUGUGAGUUUCUGCCUCCUCUCCUUGCUCCUUGGCCUCGCUCUCUGCAGGAUCAGCUCACAGCUGCCACUCCCUUGCAGAACCCCAUGCCAGGCAAAGUGCAUCAGAGCAAGAUGGGCUCUGCUGUGCAGAGUGUGAGUGCUGCAUUUCCAACUCUGCCUGAAUCCUAACAGUAAUAGAAAACGUGCAAGACAGCAGGUUUCAUUCGUGUGCACAGCGCUUUAAAUUACAGCAAGGAUUGGGCAUGGUGCAGGGAGUGGAUCUGAGCUUCAGUGUCUGGAUGUUUGCAGAGAGAUGCUCACACAAACUCUCCUUUAACAACAAUAUUUUUCUUUCCAUCUUAAAUAUAACACAGCCACUUUGGACUUCAACAUUUCUCCUGCGGGGCUCCAACGUCAGAACAAAGGCUUGUUGUUAUUUUGCCAAACUGAAGUACUGGGAUGUGGAUGGAGCAAAAACUGAGUAAUCACUGAAUCGUUGAGCUAUCAGUUACCAUCAGUGACAGCUCCUGGAGCUGUUUGGGAAUCCCAGCCGUGAGAAACCUCUAUUGCUUUGGGCCAAGUCCUGCUCCUCCAUGGCUGCUGAAUGAAUGGCCCCUGCCAGUGCUGAAGGACCCUGGAAGAAAAACGUGUCUCUGAUUAUUUACAAAUACACUGAAGAGCGCAGACUGAGACCCCUCUACAGAAUGGCAAUAGAUUUGAGGUGUUCCUUUCUCGAAGGAAAACCACUUUUUUUUUCUUUUUUACCCCCAGUAUUUCAGAUGUAUCCAAAGGCACACUAAUAUUCUUUCUAUCAUUUUGGCCGAGUGUCACUUCACAGUCUGUAACAACCCCAAACCCUUCCCAUUUGUUACCCUGCAGCUCCCAGACAUGGAAGCUGCCAUGCACAGUGAUUACCUGCUACAAUUAAGUAAUUGAAUUGUUUCAUCCUGGUUCCUCAUCCUGAGCACUUAAGAGAAUGCCACUUCAGCCCAGUGAAUUUGCAGUCUUUGGUUUGGCUAUUUUUUCCUCAGCCUCCUCAGCAGGUAGCUUGAAUGUAAGUCAAAUCCUGUGCCAUGUCCUUACACAGAGUUUUGGCACAGAUGCUUCUCAGAGCUUGUCCUCGCCGACUGUGGUUGCAAAACACCCACUUUGUUCUUUUCCUUGUUCCCACCUUAUCUCCUGUGAGAGCUCCUGUUGCACCAUGGCCAACUUCUGACUCUCCAGCAGGCUUCCUGUGCUUCAUGUGUUUGAAGAGGAUUUAUUAUUAUUUGCUUUUGCUUUUUCGCCAGUAGUUCAUGUAACUGUUUUUUUGCUUGCCUUAUUUCCAUUUUGUUUUUAAAUUUAAAUGGUCAGGAUACACAUUCUUUUGCUCAUUUAGACAAAAAUUACUUUUCUAAGCAUUAAAAGGCUGCAUCCUUAAUGUCUGAAGGUCAUUGGCCCUUCUCAUCUCAGCUUCAUCUUAGACCUAACAAGGCAUAGGACUCAGGAUCUCACACUAGGCUAAUACCUGUUUUUUGGUUUGCAAGGAUUCUGUGAUACCAGAUUUUUCCAGCAUGACACAUUUAUAUAGAUAAAAAUCAUCAGUGGCUAGGAUGGAUUUUGCCUGUCUCAGGUUUGGAGUAUUUCACCUUCACCAGUGGAAGGAGGAGAGCAUUUCUCUGACUAGAUAUGAUUGUUUUUGAAGCAGUUUUGGGGUGUGCUCCCCUAGCAUGGAGCAAGCUGGGCAGGGAGCCCCACCAGAGGAGGUUUGGGGCGCGGGCAGAGGGACUGAGAUGCUCCCUGCCUCCUCGGCCUGUUUGCCUACAUGCAUCUGGAAGGCCUGUUGCCAUGGAGAAGUGAUGGGGAACCGUCUGCCUGGCUCGCCUGACUCUUUUCCUAGCACGAAGUAAAGGCAUUUCGCCAGCUUUAAUGAGCUGUAGGCGCUUGGCACAGUGGCUGCAUCCCCAUCUUUGUCACACUGGGCUGCCUGAACCCCCAGAUUCCAGGAGAGAUCUGAAAGCAGAGAGGAAACCUGAAGUGCAGGUGGGGAAGGGAGCAGAGUGCAAGAUGGAAACUGCAAGGAGAUUAGGAGCCAGGGAGUGAUGGAGCAGGGCCCUCCACAGGGGUGCAUGAGCUCUGGUUAUGAAUUGCAACAAGGGAAAUUCUGAUCAGUCAUGGAAAAAACUCCUUCCCUGUGAGAGUGGCGUAGCCCCGAGAUGGACACUGGAGAGCUCCAAAGCCCAUCAUCCAGCCAAGCUCUGAGCAGUGCCUUGAAGUGAGCCCAGCGCUGAGGCUCACUGAGCGGUGGAUGAGGGCGUUUGAAAGAGCUCCCAGAGGAGCACACAUGGCAGAUAGUGGCCUGAAAGUGGGGUGAAGGUGGAGGCAUCCCUCUCUUCCAUUUUGGAACUGACAGUACUGAGCACUGCUUCACUCGCUGUAAUUGCAUGGUUCACAU
ensembl:lncRNA